UUUACUGGAUGAACAGAGGCAACAUAUGAAGAAUUGCCAGUUGGAUGAGGCAACAUAUGAAGAACAGAGGCAACAUAGCGUUGUUCAAUUGCAGUGAAACAGAAUGACAUUGUUACUUCAAGUUACGUAUAUGGCAAAUAUAUGAAGAACUGCCAGAAUAUUUGGAGGAGGUGUUGUCAUUGGAACUUGCGCGUCAAAUAG
rnacentral:lncRNA from 1 species